GGCAUCGCGACAUGACUCAGUAGAAACAUGGGAUGACCCUACACACAAUGUGAUUACUUGCCUGAGCAUGAACUUCAGACAGACAGACAUCAUUGGUAAACAGACAGAAGGUCGGUAUAGUUUGUUUUCAGAUAAGUUGUGUGUGUGUGUGUGUCUGUGUGUGUCUGUGUACAUGUGCGUCCAUGUGUCUGUUGAUGUGUGAUUACAGAGUAUAUAUUGAGAUAAGCUCUUCCUGUUCUUCAGUUUUUACAGCAAGUCACGUCGUCCAGACAGAAAAACAGAAAGAUGAAGGCUUACCUACUGCUCCUGCUGCUGCUGCCUCUCUGCUCAGGUACCAACACACACUCAUGCUGCUGUCACCAAGAGUUGGAGGAUUCAUUUAGACAGAGGUUUACCUUUAAAUUAGACUUAAGACUCCCUUUCCUUUAUAUAAAUCCAUAUUUUAAUCUUCAUCUGGCCUGCAGACCUCUGAUUUACCGUAGUAGUAGUUUGUUUAAACAUGUAAGAUCUUCAGUUUAUAUAAUGUUCAGUUAAUAUGACUGAAUACACAUUUAAAAGGUAAUCAAACUUGUGGUACAUUUUUGGCCCACCUUUGGGACAUGGUACAACAAAAAUUGCUUGAAACAAAGUUGAGGCUUACAUCAACUUCAAGAAUGUAAUUUAACUUGUUCUUGAGCACCAUUUAUCACCGAGUGUAACUAUAGCAGCACAGAAUUAAGGUUAGAGAACUAAUACGGCAUGAAUACAUAAAGGGGGAGUCAGUUAAAUGAUUGGUUUUCUUCGGUCCACUGACUGAAUGAGCCUCUGCAAACCAGCUGGACUCCCAAUUGAGGUUUUAUCUGCUACCGUGGGUUCAAAGUGAUGUCAUGUUAAGAAAGAUCUGUAAAUUUGUACAAAGCCAGUUCCAAACAGUUCAGAUGCUUUUUAAAUGUUGAUAAAAAAUUUAUUUUGAUUGUUUACAAGACAUUAUAACUUUUCAUUCAGGAAAAAAAGUUUUACAACAAAUAUCCUUAUUUUAUGAAAACUGCCACAACACAUUUCAGAAUAGAUGCACGGUUUAUAUAACUGUGAUGGAUCAAAUCUACUUUUAAGAAUACUCUCUAAAACUAAAAAAAAAAAAAAAAAAAAAGAAAGAAAAAAAAAAUCUAACCAGGUGUGUUUGCAUUGCAGCCAAAGAGCAUACCAUUAGGUGCUAUGGUCAGGACUUCCUUGUGGUCAACAACCUGCAGUUAACCUGCAACAGUCAGGUCAAACAAGCCUGCUACACCAGAGGUGAGUUCAUGGUGGACAUGUGGACAUGUUUCUAUUGUCCUGCAGCUGUAUCCCUCAGGUGUGUGUGUGUGUGUGUGUGUGUGUGUGUGUGUGUGUGUGUGUGUGUGUGUGUGUGUGUGUGUGUGUGUGUGUGUGUGUGUGUGUGUGUGUGUUUGUGUGUGAGGUAUUUUCUUUGAGUGUUUCCCUGACAAUUGUGAACCUCUGAAAGGUUUAUCUUUCAGGUCAGUCUGAACGGUAUGUACAUAGACUGUAUAUGGAAUGGGUGGGGCCUCCGCAAGAACAGCACCCUGUGGUGACGGGCUGCAGUAGAUGUCAUAAAUCCUGCCUCCUCAAGCAAUCCCUAUGGAGCUGUGGACAAACUUUAGAAAUUAAUUACACAGAACAUAAAUGUUUCUUCCCACUGGUUGCGAUUUUGACAUGUAGUUACUAUAAGACUGGUUUGUACUCAAGUCCUCUUUUUCUGUGAAGCUCUAUUUUUAAAAGUUAUUAUGGGGUUCAUGUUUUCCAUGAUUGACACUUGAUACAGCCUAUGAGUGUACAAAGACUGAGUAGCUCAUCUGGGGGAUAUGCUGUUUGAGCCAAGCGUCAUCACAGCGACUCUCCCACCAGAUGCGUACAAUGCUACUGUGCAAGUGGUGGUUUCAGGAAGUGGAGAGAAUCCUGGAAAUACAGAGAGCAACAGACAACAUCUUGGUACUAUUUAGUAGCUGCGCACGCCCCUUGUAAUAACCCCUGUAAAAACUGUUGUUCAGGACUGCUUACUUGAGCUUCCUACCCCUUCGGCUACUGUAAUAACCGUUGUUCGAGCCCACACGCAACAUUUUUGUUCUCAUUCAUGAAACGCUUAAAUCGGGGACAUAUUCGGGGACAGUGACCAAGGUGACCAGACGUCCCUGAUUUCCGGGGACAGUUCCCGAAUUGGAUGACCUGUCCCCGGAAAUCAGGGAUGUCUGGUCACCUUAGUCUAUGUGUAUGCACUUUGGUUGGGUCCUUCAUGUGCAUCCUCUUCAUGUCCUUUGUUAAAUUCAUCAGGGUCCAUUCAUAACAAAAGUUACCACAGGAGGUCACAAUUCAGAAAGACACAAGCUCACUACAGCUUUAAAAGUGUGGUACCAGGCUCAAGAGAAAGCUUCCUCAUCACAGGCAUGAGUAAAGGUUUAGUGUGUAGGAUGAAGAUAUUCAGAGACAUCUAGCUGUAAGAUUCUGAAUGGACACUUCAUUGUCGAUCUCUCCUGUUACUGAAGUAAAAGACACUGACACGCUAAGGAUGUAGUGGGUGAUGGUUGGUCAACUCUGAGUGUUGUAGUCAGUUCAAGGACAGCGAGAUGUGUCUCUGUCAGACUAAAGAAAUAAAUGAUGAAUUAUUGUCUAGAUGUUGUCUCCUCAUAGUUGACUCUGAUCAUUCUGAGGAAACAUCAGCAGGAUCUCUGACAGUAGCAGCUUGAACUGAGAUCAUUCAGCAUGUUUCUGUAAACCAUCUAAAAGAAAACUGACAACUUCAGCGUCGCUCUCCAAACAUUCAUUCAUCAUUAGGAUAGUCACCUAUGAAAGCACCUUUGUUAAUAAAAGACAGAGAGGUGGAGUUGAGGAGGGCUUUAAACCUCCUUGCUAACAUCUGCAGUGUGAUCUUUCAAACUCAAAAUCUUUCUUUCUGCAAAAUCAGUGAGUUAUUUAAAAAAGUAACCCCAACACAAUGUGUGCAGAUGGAAAAAAUGAGCUUUCCAGACCACAGUUGUUGUUUGAAGCAGGCUGUAAACAUGGCUGUUUUUACUUUAAAGAUCACCUUUAAAAAAAAAAAAAAAAAAAAAAAGACAAGUGUGUAUAGUUUCCUGUAUCCAGCUCCAAGUGGACACUCGAGAAACUGCAGUUUAUAGCACUUGCACCUUUAUUUCUCAAGCCGGAGGUUGCUGCUCAAUCAGAAAACACAAGCUGAGAUGGUAUAAAGCUGUCAGUUAGCAGUGCCCACCACUCAUUCUUUUGGCCAUUUGUGGAGCUGAAAUCUUUGACACUUUUGUGUUAUUUCCUUUGCUUUAAAUCCCGAUUCAAGAGUAAUUCAUGAGUAAAUUGAACAUUAAAUAUUUCUAAAAAUUAAUUCGAAUUUGACAGUUUCGAUGUUAAUUUACUUGUUGAUAAAAUCUGGACGUUGGACCCUAACAUCUUGACACUAAAUAUUUCUGAUUAAAUUUAAAAUCACUGUAAAAGAAAAAAUGUGUCUGUGGUCAGUUUUUUGAGGCUCUGAUACCCUGUUUCUUGUUUGUUGUUGCAGACAGUGGAGAAAAAGGCUGCACUACACUCGACCAAUGUACAAAACCUGGCUGGAACUGCUGCUACACGGACAACUGCAAUCAAUGAGCCAAUCACAGCCCAGGAAUCACUCAUGCUGUCAAACUAGAUCAUAGACAAUAAAGCUGUGAUGGAAAUUUCCAGAGUGCAGUUUUGUGUUUUCUUCAGUUCAGUGUACACAGAGUGUGUAAACUUAGUGGUUUUGUUCAUGGACUUUGAAUUGUGUGUAAACUCCAGUGAAGUCAGUACUAUCUCGAGCUUUUUAAACACAGUUUGGGGAUAAUAAACUGCUAUCUGAAAGUCAGUGACAGAAGUGGAGGUGCACCCACUUUCCUCGCUUCUUAUAUAAAAUGUAUCACGGUACAAGCACUCAUAUUAUCAAACAUACUUUUUGACUUGGGCACUUUAGGUACCAGAAGGAUCCCAUUUAUUUUAUGUGUGUGAGGUCAAUCCAAUGUUUUUUUUUUUGUUUUUUUUCAAUGGACAAAUCGAAAUGCAAACCAAAGUAAGAAGACAUUUCAGCAGAAAAUCAAAGUCAUUUGAAUCCAGGUUUAUAGUAUCAAAAAAUCCCACUACCUGUUGUGCAUUUUGCACAUUAUGAAGCCCAAAAUACCACAACGGCGAUCCUGGACUGUAGAGCAGCUAAAACGGUCCAUCAAGCAAGACUGUGAAAAAAUCCACCUCCAAAGCUCCAACAUUCAGUGCCCUCAGUUCACAAGGCUUACUGUGUGUUGUUAAAGGAAAGGUGAUGUAACACAGCAGGACAUGACCCUGAACCAACUUUUUAGGAGUGAGUUACAGCUUCAAACUCAAAAUAAGAUAAGAACUUUAUUGACCCCCAAAAGGAAAUUCAAUGAAUGAAUGUUUACGGAAAAACAAUCACAAUUUUUCAGUUUGAACAUUACAUCUCAUCUUUGUUCAGUAUUCAGAUUAAGUGGGAAAGGAUUUGGAAAACGUUGUGUUCCAUUUCCAUUCAUGCUCUACACAAUGUCCCAGCAUGACUGGAAUUAGGGUUUGUAGAAGUUCAUGGAUAUAUUUUAUGGUUUGAUUAAAUCAACUAUUGGCA
rnacentral:lncRNA from 1 species